rnacentral:rRNA from 2 species
AAAUUGUUGAAAGGGAAGCGCUUGUGACCAGACUUGCGCCGGGCGGCUCAUCAGGGGUUCUCCCCUGUGCACUCCGCCCGGCUCAGGCCAGCAUCGGUUCUCGUGGGGGGAUAAGAACGGUGGGAACGUGGCCCCCCUCCGGGGGGGUGUUAUAGCCCGCCGUACGAUACUCUCGCGGGGACCGAGGUUCGCGCUCCGCAAGGAUGCUGGCGUAAUGGUCAUCAGCGACCCGUCUUGAAACACGGACCAAGGAGUCGUCCAUUAGAGCGAGCGUUUGGGUGUAAAACCCGCACGCGUAAUGAAAGUGAACGCAGGUGAGAGCUUCGGCGCAUCAUCGACCGAUCCUGAUGUCUUCGGAUGGAUUUGAGUAAGAGUUUUAACGGACGGACCCGAAAGACAGUGAACUAUGCUUGUAUAGGGUGAAGCCAGAGGAAACUCUGGUGGAGGCUCGCAGCGGUUCUGACGUGCAAAUCGAU